rnacentral:rRNA from 1 species
GCAGUCGACGGGAUCCUUUCUAGCUUGCUAGGGGGGUGAGAGUGGCGAACGGGUGAGUAACGCGUGAUUAACCUGCCGUGUAGUUUGGAAUAGCUCCUGGAAACGGGUGGUAAUGCCGAAUGUUCCACAUGCUCGCAUGGGUGUGUGGGAAAACGUUUUAGUGCUAUGCGAUGGGAUCGCGUCCUAUCAGCUUGUUGGUGGGGUAGUGGCCUACCAAGGCUUCGACGGGUAGCCGGCCUGAGAGGGCGACCGGCCACAUUGGGACUGAGAUACGGCCCAGACUCCUACGGGAGGCAGCAGUGGGGAAUAUUGCACAAUGGGGGGAACCCUGAUGCAGCGACGCCGCGUGCGGGAUGACGGCCUUCGGGUUGUAAACCGCUUUUAUUGGGGAGCAAGCGUGAGUGAGUGUACCUUUUGAAUAAGCACCGGCUAACUACGUGCCAGCAGCCGCGGUAAUACGUAGGGUGCAAGCGUUGUCCGGAAUUAUUGGGCGUAAAGAGCUCGUAGCGGUUUGUCGCGUCUGGUGUGAAAGUCCAUCGCUUAACGGUGGAUUGGCGCUGGGUACGGGC